GUCAGUGUGGCAUCUUCCACUGACAAUCUCCAGAAGUAGAACUCCAAAGCUGUAGACGUCGGCCUUCUUUGUCAGCUGCCCUCGGAUCGCAUACUCCGGUGCAAGAUAUCCUCUAGAAGGAGAAGAAUGAAAUGCCAAAUUAUUCAUACACAACAAUAUGCAUGAAAGAUCAAAGCUGAAGAGCAACAAGAAAAUGCCUCUGCUUACAGUGUUCCUGCAACCCUGGUGCUGAUAUGCGUCAUGUUGCCCGGGAAAAGCUUUGCCAGCCCAAAAUCUGAUAUCUUGGGGCUCAGAUCCUUGUCAAGAAGAAUGUUGCUUGCCUUGAUAUCACGGUGGACGAUGACCGGCCGGACUUCUUCAUGAAGAUACUUGAGCCCACUCGCGACGCCGAUGCAUAUUUUCACUCUUGUUUUCCAGUCUAAUUGGAUACUAC
rnacentral:sRNA from 1 species